rnacentral:rRNA from 1 species
CCCUUAGAUGUUCUGGGCUGCACGCGCGCUACACUGAAGCUAUCAACACGUUUUCCCUCCCUGAGAAGGGCGGGUAACCUUUUGAAUCAGCUUCGUGGUAGGGAUCGGGGCUUGCAAUUGUUCCCCGUGAACCAGGAAUUCCUAGUAGACGCGAGUCAUAAGCUCGCAUCGAUUAAGUCCCUGCCCUUUGUACACACCGCCCGCCGCUACUACCGAUUGAACGUUUUAGUGAGGCAUUUGGACCGACGCAUCUCAGUUUAACCGCUGGUUUGUGUUGGAAAGACUUCCAAACUUGAGCGUUUAGAGGAAGUAAAAGUCGUAACA